GACGAACGCUGGCGGCGUGCUUAACACAUGCGAGUCGAACGGCAAGGCCCUGCUUUUGUGGUGUGCUCGAGUGGCGAUCGGGUGCGUAACACGUGAGUAACCUGCCCUUGACUUUGGGAUAACUUCAGGUAACUGGGGCUAAUACCGGAUAGGAGCUCCUGCUGCAUGGUGGGGGUUGGAAAGUUUCGGCGGUUGGGGAUGGACUAGCGGCUUAUCGGCUUGUUGGUGGGGUAGUGGCUUACCCAGGCUUUGACGGGUCGCCGGCCUGUGUGGGUGACCGGCGACAUUGGGACUGAGAUACGGCCCAGACGCCUACGGGAGGCAGCAGUGGGGAAUAUUGCACAAUGGGCGGAGGCCUGAUGCAGCAACGCCGCGUGCGGGAUAACGGCCUUCGGGGUGUAAACCGCUUGCGCCUGUAACGAAGCGUGAGUGAAGGUAAUGGGUAAAGAAGCACCGGCUAACUACGUG
rnacentral:rRNA from 1 species